UACGGAGGGGGCAAGCGUUGUUCGGAAUUACUGGGCGUAAAGGGCGCGCAGGCGGCUGCUCAAGUCAGGCGUGAAAAGGCCUGGGCUCAACCCCGGGAAUUGCGCUUGAGACUGGGCUGGCUUGAGUGCGGGAGAGGAUGGUGGAAUUCCCAGUGUAGAGGUGAAAUUCGUAGAUAUUGGGGAAGAACACCGGUGGCGAAGGCGGCCAUCUGGACCGCAACUGACGCUGAGGCGCGAAAAGCGUGGGGGAGCAAACAGG
rnacentral:rRNA from 1 species